UUUUUAGGGCCGCACUCACGGCAUAUGGAAGUUCCCAGGCUAGGGGUCGAAUCAGAGCUGUAGCUGCUGGCCUACACCACAGCAACACUGGAUCUGAGCUGUGUCUGUCACCUACACCACAGCUCAGGGCAAUGCCAGAUCCUUAAACUACUGAAUGAGACCAGGGAUCGAACCUGGAUACUACUUGGGUUCGUUAGCCACUGAACCACGAUAGGAACUCCCUCUUUUCUUUCCAUUUAAAAAAAAAAAAAAAAUCCAUACUCUACUGAAUGCCUUCUUCAAUGUCAUGUGUUUAAUUUGCUGUGGCUGAUCUUUCUGACUUCCAUGUUCUGGCACAAUUUUUAGCCCUUAAUGUCAGACAAUGUAUGGGAGUAGAAAUGUGGGAUCAGUUGCAAAUAAGGGAAGUUUACCACAAUUCAAAGAUCCAAGUUUUAUAUGACCUUUCAAGAAAUGUUUGCAGGAACACAGAAGACAAGUAAGUGACAAUUUGAGAUUGGUGGAAGUUCUUUAAGGUCCUGAGGACUGUUAUAAACCUCAUGGUGGUCCCAUCACCAUGGGGGAAGAAACUGUGGCUUUGUAGGAUUUGAACAAUAGAGGAGCACAAGUGUGUGAUGCUACAGGUAGCCUGUAUCCUUAGGAUCCAGCCCUGGAAUCAGCCAUGUCUCCUAGAAGCCUCCUUUCAGUGGGAACUAAUACCUGGGCGCUAGACUUUCUGCUCUGGUCUUUGCUUCUUGGCACUUUCAGUAAAUAGAGCUAGGGAAUCCAAUCUAUUUUUCUAAUCUAAUCUUAGAUUUCCUAGCUCUCUUUACAUAUAUAUACCUGCAUACCAAUAUACUCAUAUACUAGCUAUUCUUCUGUUAUUUUUAUUUUUAUAUAAAACUUAAAAUUUCAUCAAUGCAAAGGUGGUUUUCACUUUAAUAUCAAUAUAUCACACUAAUCUUGGCUUAAGGGAACUGCUUUUGUAAACAGAGGAUAGUAAUAACCAUUUUAUUCCCAAUUGCAGGAAAUACUUAACCUAUUUAAUCUCUAUAUGAAUUGAGCAUAGGAGAAAAUGAUUUUAGUGUAAUACUUCCUUGAAAAAGCUUAUUUUAUUGCCCUAUUCCUAAUAUUUCCUCAUUCUUUCUACUCUUCAUCUCUUGCCAAGCCCUCAUCCCACCAAGGGAGAAGGAAAACCCUGCCACCACUGUGUUCUGGCAGUUUCUGCUUCGUAGAAAUGGAAUUUGCAGUUGAAAACAGACUUUAUUUUUGGGAGAGUCGUGGCAUGUGAAAGUUCCCAGGCCAGGGACUGAACCCAUGCAACAGCAGAAACAGGCUUUUAACUCAUCAGUCUUUGGAUCAGAACUCUCAAUUGUAUAUCUAUGGCCCUAAAAUGAACUCAAAACAAUUGCACUCCAUUGCUUCUGCUUUAGGCUUGCGUCUAUAUUGAAGAACCCCUACCCAAGGCCAGAGAUUAACCAACUCUGAGUCCAUCAUGGUAAUUCAUGCUAAUUUUAAUUACAAUAAGCUAAACUAAAGUCAAUUUCACCUGCUUCAAAUAUGUGAUUUAAAAGAUCAUAACUGCUGAUCCAGUGGUCCAUGGAGGUCCAUUAAAUUUUAAAAUUCUGGAUCCUAAAAAACUAAUGUUCAUCAUCACUUACAUUUACUUUUGUUUCUGGCAUAAAUUAACAUUAAAAAACUAUACUCUCAAUAGGAUUUCCUAAAAGACAGCCUUUUAAACUUAUUUUUUAUUUUUUAAAUUAAUUAAUUAAUUUAAUGGCUGCUCCUGUGGCAUAUGGAAGUUCCCUGGCUAGGGGCAGAAUUAGAGCUGCAGCUUUGCUCUAUGUAUGCCACAGCCACAGCAAUGUCAGAUCCCAGCCACAUCUGCAACCUGUGCCACAGUUUGCAGCAAUGCCUGAUCCUUAACCUACUAAGUGAGGCCAGGAAUCAAACCAGCAUCCUCACAGAGACAGCAAGGUCCUUAACGAGCUGGGCCACAACAGGAACUCCUAGACAGCCAUUUUUUCCAUUAAUUCUGGAAAAAGUUUAAGUUUUACAUUCUACUGACGUAGUCCAAAGCUUUAGAAAAUACAUCUCAAAAAAUAUAUCAUAUCGCUUUACUCAAUUUUAUGUGGCUAUGAUAAGCCAACAGACCAUCUCAUGAAGGCUUAACUUUUCAGUCAGAGGAGAUUACCCUUAAUGUCAGAGAACUUUCAUCUUAGAAACCGUCGUGAUUAUUAUCGCUACUGAAACUUUUAAGCAUUUUAACCAUUUUUAUAUCUUCUCUUGUGAAUUAUCAUUUGAUAUAUUUUACCAUUUUUCUAUUUAAGUCUCUGCCUUAACUCUUUGUCUCAUGUAGUAUGACCAUUUCUACUCUGUCAUAUUAAGUUUUGCAGAUGUUUCCCCAAAUUGCUAUUUUUCAUAUUUUGUUUGGCAUGUCUUGAUGUGUAAAGUCUUCACUAUCUUUAUCUUGUGGAUUUUUAAAAGUUGCUUUAAUUCUUGGAAGGUUUUCUCUCAUCUUCAGAGCAUGCAAAUGCUCAUCUAUUUGGCUUUUAAGAAAAAUUUAACUCUCUAAUCCAGCUACAGUUUAUUAUACCUUUUUCUUCUGUUAACCAAUUGUUCUAGUACUGUUUAUUAGAUAGUUUAUUCUUUUUCUAUUGCUGUAUAACGACCUUGUGAUGAGGGUUUCACCAACACAGCAGACAGGACCAUGGUGAACUCCAUGCAGGCUCUCAGUGCUUCUCUGGCACUUCCAUUUCAUCGACCAAAGCCCGUCCCAUGGGCAUCCCUAACCUUCGAGGAUGUGGAGAAGUGCUACUUCCUUAUGCACAGAAGGAAAGAUGAUCUGGAAUAUCUGUAAACAAUCCAGUGACUACCACAUUUUCUUAACUCUUUCAAUUUCAGUGUCCUCCCCUGGAAAAACUGGACAAAAAUACCCAACUCAGAGAGGGUCUUGUGCAUAUAGAUAGCUUCAGGGUUAGGAGCGAUUUCUGGCAUUACACUGCCUGGAUGGGAUCCCAGCUCUAGGCUUCUUAGCAUAACCUUGGCCAAUCUUCUUCAUCUCUCUCAUUGGAUUUCUCAUCUAAAAAAUAACCUUAGUGCCUAUUUGUUUAAUUGUAAAGAUUAAAUCAGUUAAAAUAAGCAAAAUAUUUAGAACUGUGCCUAGUACAUAGCGGGGAUACUUGCUUUUGGUCCCUAACCUGUCUUCUGGACCAGAGGGUCCUUAGUGAUGAUGGGUGGUUAUCAGGAUGAUGAUGAUGAUGAUCAGUAGAUAGGCUAUGCUUGUUCUCUAGCACUGAGCUCAUGAGUACUUGCGAAGAAAGAGCCAAUGAAAUCUCAUCAGGUUCCACUUGGUGAACUGGAGUGGGUUAUGUGGAAUUCAAACAGGUUCAUGGAAGCACAAGUUUAACAGUAAGUACAGCAGGAGCAGUCCUGAAGGGGGUGACAGCUGUGUGUUUGCCCAGUGGUCCAGUGC
rnacentral:lncRNA from 1 species